UACGUAGGUGACAAGCGUUGUUCGGAAUUACUGGGCGUAAAGGGCGCGUAGGCGGUCUUGUAAGUCUUGUGUGAAAUCCCUCGGCUUAACUGAGGAACUGCACGGGAUACUGCGAGACUUGAGAUCGGGAGAGGGAAGCGGAAUUCCGGGUGUAGCGGUGAAAUGCGUAGAUAUCCGGAGGAACACCGGUGGCGAAGGCGGCUUCCUGGACCGACACUGACGCUGAGGCGCGAAAGCUAGGGGAGCAAACGGG
rnacentral:rRNA from 1 species